CCUACGGGAGGCAGCAGUGGGGAAUAUUGCACAAUGGGGGAAACCCUGAUGCAGCAACGCAGCGUGAGUGAGGAAGUACUUCGGUAUGGAAAGCUGUAUCUGCAGGGAAUAGAAAAGAAGGUCACGGACAAAGAAGCGUCGGCAACCUAAGUGCAAGCAGCCGCGGUAAUACGGAGGGAGCGAGCGUUAUCCGGUUUUACUGGGGUGAAAGGGAGCGUAGACGGAAAGGCAAGUCAGAAGUGAAAGCCCAAGGCUCAACCAUGGGACUGCGGUUGAAAAUGUCAAACUAGAGUACGGGAGAGGUAAGAGGAAUUCCUAGUGUAGCGGUGAAAUGCGUAGAUAUUAGGAGGAACACCAGUGGCGAAGGCGUCUUACUGGACCAAAACUGACGUUGAGGCUCGAAAGCGUGGGGAGCAAACAGGAUUAGAUACCCGUGUAGUC
rnacentral:rRNA from 1 species